rnacentral:lncRNA from 1 species
CAAGCUAUUAUGGGAGUUCUCUUUUUCUCUCUUUAAACACCUAGCUAGUGAGAGAAAGUAUGGAAGUAGGAUUUUCCAAGGGUUUUAAGGUGAGAGAGUGGAAGAGCACAAAGGUUCUAUGAAAAGGUGGACAAAAGCAUGAAAAUUAGAGCUAGAGAGAGAAAGUUAUGGAGGCUUCAUAUCAAGCUUCUGUGGAGGAUGAAGAAACAUGAGAUUAGAGGAAGGAAGGA